rnacentral:rRNA from 1 species
AACGAACGCUGGCGGCAUGCCUAACACAUGCAAGUCGAACGAGACCUUCGGGUCUAGUGGCGCACGGGUGCGUAACGCGUGGGAAUCUGCCCUCUGGUUCGGAACAACAGUUGGAAACGACUGCUAAUACCGGAUAAUGACUUCGGUCCAAAGAUUUAUCGCCUGAGGAUGAGCCCGCGUCGGAUUAGCUUGUUGGUGAGGUAAAAGCUCACCGAGGCGACGAUCCGUAGCUGGUCUGAGAGGAUGAUCAGCCACACUGGGACUGAGACACGGCCCAGACUCCUACGGGAGGCAGCAGUGGGGAAUAUUGGACAAUGGGCGAAAGCCUGAUCCAGCAAUGCCGCGUGAGUGAUGAAGGCCUUAGGGUUGUAAGGCUCUUUUACCCGGGAUGAUAAUGACAGUACCGGGAGAAUAAGCCCCGGCUAACUCCGUGCCAGCCGCCGCAGUAA